rnacentral:tRNA from 2 species
GACGAGGUGGCCGAGUGGUUAAGGCGAUGGACUGCUAAUCCAUUGUUCUCUGCACGUGUGGGUUCGAAUCCCAUCCUCCUCG